rnacentral:rRNA from 1 species
UACGGAGGGUGCAAGCGUUAAUCGGAAUUACUGGGCGUAAAGCGUGCGCAGGCGGUUUGUUAAGUCUGCUGUGAAAUCCCCGAGCUCAACUUGGGAAUUGCAGUGGAUACUGGCAAGCUGGAGUACGGUAGAGGAAGGUGGAAUUCCCGGUGUAGCAGUGAAAUGCGUAGAGAUCGGGAAGAACACCCGUGGCGAAGGCGGCUCUCUGGGACGGUACUGACGCUGAGACGCGAAAGCGUGGGGAGCGAACAGG